CUUCAAUCUUGAUUAAAAUCCUAAUAGAACUCAAUUAAAUCCUAGAUCAAAUCCUAAGUUAAUUCUUAAUUAUAUUGUACACAAAUCCUUAAUUUUAAAUCAAAUCCUAAAAAAAUCCUAAAUCCUAAAUCAAAUCUUAGACAAAUCCUAAAUCCUAAAUCAAAUCCUAGAAAAAUCCUAAAUCCUAAAUCAAACCUUAGACAAAUCCUAAACCAUAAAUCAAUUCUUAAUCAAAAUCUAACCAACUCAAAUCAACUCUAAGGUAGAUUAAAAUCCCAAUAUCUAUUGAUUAAAUUAUUGAUCUUACUUAAAAGUUUACAAACCUC
rnacentral:lncRNA from 1 species